rnacentral:rRNA from 1 species
UACAGAGGUCUCAAGCGUUGUUCGGAUUCAUUGGGCGUAAAGGGUGCGUAGGUGGUCGGGUAAGUCUGAUGUGAAAUCUCCGGGCUCAACCCGGAAAUGGCAUUGGAUACUAUUUGACUAGAGGGUUGGAGGGGGGACUGGAAUACUUGGUGUAGCAGUGAAAUGCGUAGAUAUCAAGUGGAACACCAGUGGCGAAGGCGAGUCCCUGGACAACUCCUGACACUGAGGCACGAAAGCUAGGGGAGCAAACAGG